rnacentral:rRNA from 1 species
CCUACGGGAGGCUGCAGUGAGGAAUAUUGGUCAAUGGACGCAAGUCUGAACCAGCCAUGCCGCGUGCAGGAUGACGGCUCUAUGAGUUGUAAACUGCUUUUGUACGAGGGUAAACGCAGAUACGUGUAUCUGUCUGAAAGUAUCGUACGAAUAAGGAUCGGCUAACUCCGUGCCAGCAGCCGCGGUAAUACGGAGGAUUCAAGCGUUAUCCGGAUUUAUUGGGUUUAAAGGGUGCGUAGGCGGUCGGAUAAGUCAGAGCUGAAACCCCGAGGCUCAACCUCGGAAUUGCCUCUGAUACUGUUCGGCUAGAGAGUAGUUGCGGUAGGCGGAAUGUAUGGUGUAGCGGUGAAAUGCUUAGAGAUCAUACAGAACACCGAUUGCGAAGGCAGCUUGCCAGGCUACUUCUGACGUUGAGGCACGAAAGCGUGGGGAGCGAACAGGAUUAGAUACCCCAGUAGUC